UACCUGGUUAAAUAAAGGUGUUCUCUACUAGCCUACCUGGUUAAAUAAAGGUGUUCUCUACUAGCCUACCUGGUUAAAUAAAGGUGUUCUCUACUAGCCUACCUGGUUAAAUAAAGGUGUUCUCUACUAGCCUACCUGGUUAAAUAAAGGUGUUCUCUACUAGCCUACCUGGUUAAAUAAAGGUGUUCUCUACUAGCCUACCUGGUUAAAUAAAGGUGUUCUCUACUAGCCUACCUGGUUAAAUAAAGGUGUUCUCUACUAGCCUACCUGGUUAAAUAAAGGUGUUCUCUACUAGCCUACCUGGUUAAAUAAAGGUGUUCUCUACUAGCCUACCUGGUUAAAUAUAGGUGUUCUCUACUAGCCUACCUGGUUAAAUAAAGGUGUUCUCUACUAGCCUACCUGGUUAAAUAAAGGUGUUCUCUACUAGCCUACCUGGUUAAAUAAAGGUGUUCUCUACUAGCCUACCUGGUUAAAUAUAGGUGUUCUCUACUAGCCUACCUGGUUAAAUAUAGGUGUUCUCUACUAGCCUACCUGGUUAAAUAUUGGUUACAUUUUUUUUUACUGUUUACACUGUUGUCUCUUUUCAGCAGCUGGUAUGGAUCCAUCAAGGAGACGACACCUCCCGUCUUUGCCAGUAACCCUCCUGACCAGAACCAACAGUACAGAACUAACAUGACCCUCUAUCUGACAUGGUGCACAAUACAAGGUAUUGUUUCCUACUUGCCGGCAAGCUAAAAGUAACGUCGGUGUGACCACUUCCAGAAGUGAUGGAGACAACAGUAGAUUCGUUUGUCAUGUUCUGUGAUUGUACAUUGAAGUUAACUUAUUUAAAAUCAGAUAUCACCUGUUGUUUUAGCAUUUAUGGAACAAAUACCUCUUCCUUCUCACCGGCAUC